GGUUCCUGACCCCCGGGCCAGGCCCGGCAGCCCAGCAGGGAGAGGGGCGAGGAUGCGGCACCUCGGCAGGAAUGGAUAAUUUGGGCAUAACUUUUCUUCCAUUCCCUGCUCCAGUCCCAGUCCCAUCCUGAGAUGGACAGUGGCUUGCUGAAAGUCAUUACGGUUUUCUUCCAGUAAAAGUGAAACGAGUUAUUUUCUUGAGAAAACUCCACUUCACCAACAGCUGUGGCUUGUAAGUACUCUACCUAUACAUAGAGAUUCCACAUUAAAACAUAUUUCAAAUUAUUUUUUAAAACUUACUCCCAAAGCUUAUAAACUUCUCAUACACCUGGCAUUACUAUUGAGAGCUUAGCUUGUUCUGCUGCCUAGGAAGGACACUUACACACCUUCUAAUUGCUCUCUUUGUUCUGCUUUGCUACACAAAGUAAGGAUGUAAAAGAAUGCUACACCUGAACAGACAGUCUGAGCUAUCACUUGACCAAUCUGAAUUUUCAGAACCAUCCUAAUAUUCCUCAGGAAUUCCCAGUUUAGCUCUGAGACUAAUGAACUGCCUUAUUUUGCACAUGCUAGAAGAUGAUGUAUUAUGUGAGCCACACGUUACUUUUACAUGUCAAAACUGUUAGUUAAAGAACCAGAGAAGUGGUCGUUCCUGUAAGUUCGGAAAAAAAAAAUAAGGAGAACAAUUGUUUAAAUGAUUUUUGUUUUGAAUGCCUGCAAGCAGAGAAAAGCUGGCAUUUCUUAUCAGGUUGUUUGGAUUGUGGAUACAAGUGAGAGAUGAGAAAAUCCAUGUAUCAGUGUUUUUGCUGGACCGUUCUGGUUUAUGAUCCCUCCACUGGAAGCCUCGGUCUCAUCUGCCUUGUGCUUAUUUCCCACCACUGUGAGCACUUGUUAGACAAGAAACUGGCAGUCCUCAGCAUGUCAAGCACUGCAGUUCACAGGCAAGCCCUGGGAAAGCUGAGGCCUUGAGGAAACACUCAUCCCUUGGAGAUGUAUUUGUGUUAGGGCUCCCACUGUUUCUACCAGAAGCAAGGUUGAAUUAGAAGAAACAUGGCAAGAGCUGGUGAUGAGAACUCCCUACAGAUACCCAUAAAAGGAAGAGCACUGAUACCACGUUGAUUUGGGAAUACUCAGAAAACCUUAGUUCCACCCUCUCCACUGAUCCACUGCUGACAGAACACCCUCAAUUUACGUGACAGAGGUUGAACUAGCCAGGAGUACCUUUCCAAAAAAGCUGGAAAGGUCUAUAUUCCUGGCUUCAGGAGUCUUGUUCUUGCUUAAAUGAAGCUGGAACAGUUUACACUCGUUGCAAAAUAUAAGGGUACACUCACACAAGCCUACAUGUAAGCACAGUCAUCCCAGCGUAACUCCAGGGAUGUGUGUGGGCAAAUACUGGCAGUGUCCUUCGGACAAUGGCUGGCUGAAGCUGCAAUCCAAUGGGGACUGGAUGUCAGCAUGUGGCCUGAUGCUGUAUGUGCAUGAAGCUGCUAACAUGGGGUAUGGGGAAGAAAUCUCUCGGGCCACAUCAGCACCCCAUUCUUCCUCUCCUACCAAAAAAUCUGCCUCUGGACGCCGCAACUGGCUUUGCUAAUGGCUCAGCUUGAGCUGAUCCCCAUGUCUCAGUGCCACAGCAGCUUUUAUCAGUAAUUGGAUUAGGAAAGAAAGGCUCCAAUUAUCAAAGUGCCAUAGACACUGGGACAGGCAUAUUGCUUGCUGAAAUGUUUUUGGUCAGAACAGGUUAACAUUUUGAGAGCAAUUUGGUCAGGCUGUGUUUAAAGGAGCUGGUUUUGAAAACGCACUGCAGCUUCUUCGUUAAGAGCUACAGUGGCCCUGUUUAGGAAGGGGGAAAAAACAUCCUGCUGAUCUAACUUACGUACACACACACACACGAGCAUGACUUCUGUGCAUUCAUCAUUUAGUUCAAAAGCUUUUUUCUUUUUGUGGAAGACAUGAGUUCUUUGCGGAUAGCCAGCAUUAAGGAGUUAGGUAAGUAUGCAAGCUGUAAUGCAGUUUCUGAAGUUAUUUUAAAUAUUUGGGUUGUCCACUUAAACUAUGUUUAAAUAAAGUUAGUACAGAUUUCUUCAUUUCUUUGAUGGCACGAUAAAGCCAGACCUUCUGUCACGACACACAUCAGCAUUUAAUGGCCAGGUUGAAUCAUGGCAGGCUGAUUAGGAUACCAGGCUUUGAGGAUUUCUGUAACCGUGUUUCUAACUUUGUCAGGGACUGCCCCUAGACUUCUCAGCUUUAUUUUUUUCUUUUUUUGCAAGGAAGAGGAGCAGCUGUGUGACUAAACACCUGGAAUUCAGGGUUUGGAGCUCCCUGACAAUGUCAGCCUUAAAUCAACUGCCCUCAUCAAGCAGCUCUGCCUAACUGCAUUCUGGGGGCAGUGAGAAAAGCUUCUGCCUGGGAUAGACAGUUUUAUUUCCUUUUUGUGCAGUAUGAACUUGUAAGCAAUGAGUACAGCCCCAAGCUUCUGUACUCAGAAAACUUAGGUUUAACACAUUAAUGGGCAGAAACAGACUCUGCAGCUAAGUACAUAAUGGAUUACCACUUAACGUUGUGGUCAUCUGUUUUUGUUAAAUAGAUGCUUAGGAACUGUUUACUCAGAGACACUGAGAAAAGUUAGGAAUCAAAUUGAGAGGUUAAGUUAACACUUUAAUAGGCAUUAAACUCUUGUGCAGAUGCACAUGUUCAGAGCCGUAGUGAUCACGGUAUAAUCCUUUAAUUUAUGUGCAUUAGCUACACAUCUUUGAUUCCUCUGAAUUCCCCAAGUUCUUCAUAAAGACAAGAUUUUUCAGGGUUUGUCCACGUACAUAAGCUAUGACAGUCUGUGUCAGUGUCUGAAUGGAGAGAGCAAAGGUUGCUCCUGGAUUAUUUAUUCAUUAUGAAGUGAAAGGAUAUGGUUCCUGAUUAGGUUACCUCAGCAACAGAUCUUCUGCACCAGUUACAUGAUGUAAGGGCUUCAUUUCCUGUGAUAUUACCCCAAAUUGCAUAACUAGGACUGGAACAGAAAACAGCUUUGUUCUCCCCUUGCUCUGAAGUGUAGAGCCGGAUGCUGAAGAUCUGUUGUACAGAAGGACCUUCUUAUCACAGAACUUUGUGGCGCCUGAUCAUCAUCUAGCUCCGUUCAACUACUGAAUCUGGGAGGAGUCACCAGGAACUACACUGAGAAACAGUAUCACCUCAGAAUCAACUUUGAAGAUUUUUCUUACUUCCACCAGUAACCCCAGGAGAAAGCUAUGAUGACAAAUACACAGGAUUCCCCCCCAAAAAAGUGUUCUUGGCUUGAUUUCUUGGCCUUUCCUCCCAGCCACCAAAAGCAACAAUUUGCCUCCAAGGCAAUUCAAACAAGAUCUGCAGCAGGGCUUCUAAUAAGCCUUUUUCUCCAGAAGUGUGCAACUUUGCCAUUGCAACCAUCAUCAAAACAGCAUCUUAAAGCUGCUGACAUUCUGCUAUAAGACUACAGAGGGAGGGAGCAAAGUCAUUCCUUAACAGCAACAACCUUUAAGGUAAAUUCAGAAGUUACGUUUGCAACAGAUUUCAUACCCAGGGCUAAAUAAAUGUAUGAGAUUGUGAACUCAAGAUUCUAAGAGCACAGAGUCAAUUCAAAGCAAUUUAUUAAUAACUUUAAUACCCACCAUUACCUGUUAAAUAGAAAGGUAAAAUUAAAAAAGAAGCCUACAAAGCAGAGAGCUUGCAAAUGAGAAAGACCAAGUGCAAAACCCAAGGAGACAGAAGUUAGGCAACAGCAGCUAAUUCCCUCAAAUUAAGUGACAGAAAAGGUAGCAUGAAUGAACAUAUAGUUACCCAGAAAUGCGCGUGACAGUUGACCAUCAUGGUCCUCUCAAUCAGCUCAUCAGGACACUCCAAAAGGUGGUGCCCGGAGACCACGCCAGCAUUGUUAACCAGGACGGAAACCUCUCCAACCUCUUUGCGGACCCUCUCCGCUGUUGUGUAGACAUUUUCUCUUUUGCCCACAUCACAGGUGUAUGUGUAAACCUGCAAGCUGCAAUGGGGCAGCGCAUCUUUCUCUCCGUCUCCAGCUACUAAGGAAUACAGGGGAAAGAGAAGAGAAAACGUUCUUAGUUGGAUUUCAGCAGGCAAAUAAAGGAUUGAGCAAAAGAGCAAACUUACUUCCAACGC